rnacentral:rRNA from 1 species
GACAGAGGGGGCAAGCGUUGCUCGGAAUUACUGGGCGUAAAGGGCGCGUAGGCGGGAUGGCAAGUCGGUCGUGAAAUCCCUCGGCUCAACUGAGGAUCGUCGAUCGAUACUGCCGUUCUUGAGGAUUGCAGAGGAGACUGGAAUUCCCGGUGUAGCGGUGAGAUGUGUAGAGAUCGGGAGGAACACCGGUGGCGAAGGCGGGUCUCUGGGCAAUUCCUGACGCUGAGGCGCGAAAGCGUGGGGAGCAAACGGG